GCCUAUAUUUUGCAAUUUUUGGGGCCAUGAAAUUACCCCCCUUUUUAGAGAACUUACAAUCGGCAUGAAACGGGAUCAUACGUGCUUUCGAAUUUGAUUCAUUUUGGUCAGUAUUUGCAGUUAGAGGUUUACAAUGUUCUAUUAUCUGAGCAAAAAGUGAAAGCGUGAAUAUUUUCCAUGGAGAUCGUGAAGAACGAAGAACACCUUGACCUGUUUAAAAACG
rnacentral:lncRNA from 1 species